CAGGAGGACGAAGAGGACAGGCUGUGUGGAGUUGCUGUAUUAUAAGAUAAUGUCCAGCGGUGUUCUUUCCUGACACGAUCGUCCACUCAUCGCGGCAGCAACAACAACGCUGGGCAUCGCAUGGGUGUGAACUGGAUCCUGGACGUGAGAGACGCGCCAUUCAGCCUCGCCUUCCUGGUUCUCGCCUGCGGCACCUGUGUCAUGAGCGAGUCAGCCUGGCACACCAGCAACCACAGUGGCGUGUUUGUGCCUGUGGAGGCGUGCGUGGCCUGCAGAGUGUGCUGCCGUUAGCACCAAGGACACCCUCUGUGCCUCAGUGCACAGUACACAUCAACCACAGUGGCGUCUUUGUGCCUGUGGAAGCGUGCGUGGCCUGGAGAGUGCGCCGCCUCUAUCACCAGGGGCACCUUCUAUGCCUCAAUGCAUAAUACUCACUGGUCAUAGUGGGGUGUUUGUGCCUGUGGAAGCGUGCGUGGCCUGGAGAGUGUUCUGCCACAGCCACCACGGUAUCUGUUUUGUGUGUAUGUGUGUGUGUGUGUUAGAAUAUAUAUGUUUGUAUGUAUGAGUUUACUUAUGAUUAUGAAUGUACGUGUGUGUAUGGUGUGUGUCAGGUUAUAUAUGUGUGAAUGUGUAAGUAUUUAUAUAAUAAUAUAUAAGUACUGAUAUAUUAUGCGUCUAUGAGUGCACACAUUGAGCGUGUUUCGUUGUUCAUGCCUUGUGUAUUUGUGUUUUUACUAAUACAUAAAAUGAUAAGUAAUAUAUCCUGUUCAUAGGAGCUCUGAGUGCUGACUUAAAUUAUUGGGUAUUCUGAGUCUGGUCAGCACAUGUCUGGCUCACAGAGCUGUUAACUAUGUUUCAGUCUCACAAAGGACCUGUCGGAAAUGUAUUCUUAGAACGGACCCAGCCAUAUAAUUAUUAUAUUUCUGGGCAGCAACAUCCUAUGAUAUAUCAUGCGGCUAAUAAAUAUUUUGAAUAAAAAAAAAAUAGUAUAUGUUGUGCGUCAGAGCUUUGUAAACUGCAAAAUGAUGGUGAUCACAGCUACGAUGCUAAUGUUAAUACCAAGUUGGAGUGCUUACAUUACUUUUGCAAGUACUUUUAACUUACUCUUCUUUAUUUUCUAGUUUGUGUCAAGACUUUGUCUGUGAAUAUGCAUUCUUCUUUAAAGAAGCUGAAACCUCGAGUGUUCGGAAUGAGAAUCUCGCCACAUUUGCUAGAUUCACUUUUCUGUAUAGGAGAGUUAGGAUUGUGCAAAGUGUGCAGCAUUGGUGGCGGGGACUUGUGGCAGUGAGAGUGUUAGCCACGCGUCACUCAUUAAUCCUUGUACCCAAGGUGACCGCUGCCGCUCAGUCUUUUUAUUUUAUUGUAUUGUUUUCCUUCUUUCUGGAGAGUUAUCUUUUUUGUGUUGUAAUUCCAUGCAACAUUCUUUCUCUCUCAUUUAAGUUUUCUUUAUUUUUCCAUUAUUUUCAUAUUUCUCUUUUUCUCAUAUCCUCAUUUUCUUUCUUACUCUAUUUUUGUUUUAACAUCCACUUUUCUCUCCGUUCUCUCUCCUCCAAGCGAAGGAAAGAGUACCUCUCAUUCUCCUAUUCUUCUCGCCGCAACUUUCCCUGACGUGUUGCCUUAUCAGGAAUCUUACCUAAUUUGAAACUUUUCUUCCCUCCUUUCUUCUUUAUUAGCAGAGAGAGAGAGAGAGAGAGAGAGAGAGAGAGAGAGAGAGAGAGAGAGAGAGAGAGAGAGAGAGAGAGAGAGAGAGAGAGAGAGAGAAACAUAAGAUAUUAAGAUCAAUCCUUGGAAGAUCGAUCAUUGGACUACUUGUGAGUUAUUGCUACCAUGCUUGACCAAUGUUGCAGAGGAACAAGACUCCAGACCUUGAGAAGCUGUCACUCCUGGGCCACUCCUGGUGUCAGCGCGGGUUUCACAGUGGCGCUCCAUACUAACGCUAGACCACUUAUUGAAACCAGAGAGAAGUCCAGGCUGUCCCGCCGCCACGACUUGAAAUAUUUUGGAACACUCCUGCCCGCACCUCCACUACUUUCAGGUGGUGAUGUGGCUCAACGCACUUGCAAAACAUCUAUGGGAGUCAAGUAACUUAAGUCCAGAGCAAAAUUCAAAUCCCUACUGGAUAAGUUUCUCUGGACAAUACCCGACACACCCAAACUGCCCCACUACUAUGUUCGUGCCACCAGUGACAGCACCAUCGAUCAGCUGGCACAGCAACGGGCAGACGGGACCUACAGUGCCGGCGCACCAGAGUGACAUGGGCAGCACCAUCUACUCAAAACUUCAUUCCUCAGGUACAGGUUCUACAGGUGUGUGUGUGUGUGUGUGUGUGUGUGUGUGUGUGUGUGUGUGUGUGUGUGUGUGUGUGUGUGUGUGUGUGUGUGUGUGUGUGUGUGUGUGUGUGUGUGUGUGUGUGUGUGUGUGUGUGUGUGUGUGUGUGC